AAAGGAGAUCUGACUAUGCUGCUUGCCAUUCUAAAGUCUGCCAAAGCAUCAUAUGAAAUUGUCACUCUUAAACAUGAGUGAUACCUGGUGUAAUGACUUCUAUGCAUUAACAUACUCUCUCCUUGCAGGUUGUGAAUGGCUUGUUUCUGCAAAUUGGUAAGUAAAGUCUGUCACUAUAUUAAAGUUUAGAUCUCUGAAUCUGGAAUCUUUAAUGAAAAGCACAAGGGCAGAUCUUCUUAGAAAUGCCCAUUGCAGGCAAGAAAUUAGUUCAAUGCCUUAAACUGGCUUUUAAAAAUAGCUAGAUGACAUGGUAGAACAAGCAAUGCUCAUUUUAAUCUUCCCCUGCUUGGCAUCAUGACGGAGCAUGCAUCUUAACAGAGCAUAUACUGAUAUCAAAGAUGGCACUUCAGGCGUUUUAACCUUGACUAGUAUGCAGCAUGCAUGGUGCACUUCUAGGAAGCUCUGCCCUUAGUCAGAACGCUAAAGUGCCUGCCUAUGAUGUUUUCAAGAGUAGUGGACAGAAUUGAUUUCUGACAAUUUUUAUUAACACUGAGGCUUUGCACUUGACCCAGUACUAGAAGGCCCAAUAUUGGCAUUCUUGGACAGAUUAUUUAAAUUAUGUGCUUCUUUGCUCCAUAUAUUAACUAAAUUAUUACCUUUUUAAAGGUGAACCAGUCUGCUGGACUGAAGCAAAACAAAGCCUCUGGAAUAACCAGGCUACACUCCAAACCUUGCUGGGACAUGUGAAACUUUCUGAGGGCUUCAAUAACACUGAUGGCUGUCUUACACCACUUUACAUUUAAAAUGCCACUUUAAGAUCAGAGACAAGCGGCCAGGCUGAAGUUGGAAUUACAAUUGGCUGAGCCAUGAAUAUUCUUGGCCCCUUUGUGAUAACAUGGAUUUUGGCACAUCUCUCUAUCAGUUGUCUGAAUUAGAUCUGAGACUUCAUAUUCAAGGUGAUCUCCAAAAGCAACUGACCAUUUCAUGUAAAGAGAACUGGUGUUAAGCAGUGACUAGGACAAUUCUCAAUUUGUAAUGUUUCCCUGAAGAGGUUAAAAUAUCUCUGCUUCAUGGCUUGUGUG